rnacentral:rRNA from 1 species
GUGUUCUUCGCCAUUCCUGAUAGCAGAUUUAGCUGCACCGAAGACUGGUGGUUGUCAGCCAGGAAAGAGAUCCCCAAGCCAGACCGGCGUAACUUCGACACCGUUGCUAUCCUGGUGCACUGGAGGGUGUGGAAGGAAAGGAGUGCCAGGAUCUUUGAACACAAAACAAGCAGCGUCGAUCGAGUGCUCGAUCUGAUCAGGGAUGACAUUGUUGUGUGGAGAGCAGCUGGGUGUGUUUCAGACCUAGCAGCCUGA